AUAGUUCUUUUGUAUGAGCUGAGGAUUAAAGUUGAAGCAAAUAAAUUUGGGCUUAAACUAGGAUUAGAUACCCUACUAUACUUAAAUAAACACUAUGGCCUGGGUAUUAAAAGGUAUGUUCUUUAAAUUUAAAGAAUUUGGCGGUAACUUAGUCUUGUCAGGGGAAUCUGUUUUUUAAUCGAUAGACCACGAAAAAUCUUACUUAGGCUUAAAGCUUGCAUACCGUCAUUAUUAGAUAAUCUUAAAAGGGUAAAUUAUUACACAGGUUGUUUCAGCUAAAUUAGAUCAAGGUGCAGCCGAUGUUUAAGUUAAGGUGGAUUACAAUAAAUUUUAUUUAUGACGGAAGGGGGAGGGGAAGCCGGCCCGGAAGGAGGAUUUGAUUGUAUUGCAAUUUUAAUAAGGUUGGAAGAUAUGAGCUCUAAGUUAUGUACAUAUUGCCCGUCGCUUUCAUUAACAGAU
rnacentral:rRNA from 1 species